rnacentral:rRNA from 1 species
AAAAAGGGGGGGGCUUGGAUGCUGCUGGCCCGCGAGGGCAUGUGCGCGCCUGCCCUUCCGAUCUCACACACCUGUGCACCUAUGGGCGAACGCCUCCCGUUUGGAGCAGCCCGACGUGUUGUCGGGCCGGGGCGUUCCCUCUUCUCUCACACACAACAGCCUGUUCUGAACGCAUGUCUUUUUGAGCGUAUAUAUAUAUAUGCACAUAGCAGUUACAACUUUCAACAACGGAUCUCUUGGCUUUCGCAUCGAUGAAGGACGCCGCGAAAGUGCGAAACGUAAUGUGAAUUGCAGAAUUCAGUGAAUCAUCGAAUCUUUGAACGCAUCUUGCGCCCCUUGGUAUUCCGAGGGGCAUGCCUGUUUGAGUGUCGCGAACAUCCCUCGACCCUCCCUUUCCCCCCCCCAAAGGAAGAGAGAGGGGUCGGAUUUGGACGUCUGCGGCGGGGUCUUCUUCCCGCCGCUCGUCUUCAAACGCAUUAGCUUCUGAUCCCGGAAGUCGGCCCGAUGACGGUGUGAUAAAGAGACGUCCCCGUUGACUGUGGCGCCGUUUGGGUCGACUUUGAAUCGGGGUUCGCUUACAGCCGUCCUCUUUUCGGACAAAACACGUUCACGUCGUCUGACCUCAAAU